GAAAUGCGAUAAGUAAUGUGAAUUGCAGAAUUCCGUGAAUCAUCGAAUCUUUGAACGCACAUUGCGCCCUCUGGCAUUCCGGGGGGCAUGCCUGUUCGAGCGUCAUCUACACCCUCAAGCUCUGCUUGGUGUUGGGCGUCUGUCCCGCCCCCGCGCGUGGACUCGCCCCAAAUCCAUUGGCAGCGUUCCUUGCCCCCUCUCGCGCAGCACAUUGCGCUUCUCGAGGGCGGCUCCGGGACGCGAUCCAGCAAGAUGACCACCGUCUUUGACCUCGGAUCAGGUAGGGAUACCCGCUGAACUUAAGC
rnacentral:misc_RNA from 1 species